rnacentral:rRNA from 1 species
CCCUUAGAUGUCCGGGGCCGCACGCGCGCUACACUGAAGGAAUCAGCGUGGCUUUCUCCCUGACCCAAAGGGUUGGGAAACCCGUUGAAUCUCCUUCGUGAUAGGGAUUGGGGCUUGAAAUUGUUCCCCAUGAACGAGGAAUUCCCAGUAAGCGCGAGUCAUAAGCUCGCGUUGAUUACGUCCCUGCCCUUUGUACACACCGCCCGUCGCUACUACCGAUUGAACGGUUUAGUGAGGGCCUCGGAUUGGUCUCGGCCCGCUCUUUACCGGGCGGCGCCGUUGGUCGAGAAGACGCUCGAACUUGAUCGUUUAGAGGAAGUAAAAGUCGUAACA